UCCAAAGAGAUGGGAGCCACAGUUGUUGUCUUCAAGUGGUUGACAGUUUGAUAUGAGCAAAAGUGUAUGGAGGGUGCUGACUGGUGGCUGUCCAUGUUGUGGACUAUGAAGAAGAACAUGUCAUAGUGGUAGAUAUGGGGAGCAGGGCCAGCACCAAUGUUCCAAACUCAAUUAAUAUGCUCCUUGUAUAAUUUUCAAACCAACCAUCCCAUGCCAGCUUCUGCCAGACUUCCCUUUUCGGUUUUUCCUCUACUACUACUACUAGUCAAUCCGCAUACAUCCACUGCUGGUAUGGCACUGAAUGAUUGGACGGUGGAUACCCAACACUCUGUCACCGAGGGAGGCCCCAAUUAUUGCCAUAUUCAUAGCUAUCCAAGUUUUGCAUGUUACCAGUUACCACUAGCUGCUUUCCCAAUUACAGCGCUCUCAUGGUAUCAGGUGGAUUAAAUCAGUCCCUUCUUGUUUUACUCUUUACGGGUUAAAACAUGACUAUGCAAACUAGACUGUUCAACUUCUGGAAUGAAGUCAUACUAGAAGAGAGGGAAGAUCCAAUUUAUAAACAAGCACUGUAUUCAAGAAAAACAAACUUCCUAUCCAAAAUCAUUUCAAUAUAUUCCGCAGAAGGCCAUUUUUAAACAAGCAC